GGCUCCCUUUCUCCUCCUCUUCUGGUGCUUUUCUGAGAUUUAUCCGUCUAGGGGAUGUGGGAUUUCUUAGACCUCUGCUUCGUAGUCAUCUUUUUGCUAAACCCUGUCUGCUUCGGAUUCCUUUGCGACGCCAGCUCUCCUCCCCUUCACUGUGAGGUUGCUGCAUGACUGUACAUUCCCUUCGUUUUUUUUCAGCCCCUUCACUCUGUGUGCUGUUGAUGGGUUCGUGCGAGAGAACGGGAGCGUGGGAAGAGAGAUGUGUGGGGACCAGGGGCACCCCUCGCUAAGGACCCGUUGAGCCAAUUGUUGGCUCAGGGCUGAUUUGGAGUCAGAGAUGCCAAGUGGAGAAAAGACUGAAGAUGCUGGUUUUCCAAGAUCUGAGAUGGAAACUGUGAAACUGAAAAACAGGCUCUUACAAUCCCACCACCUGACAUUUUUUUUGGAUCAGAUCGCUGGCCUGGAUGUUCAGCAAUUGAACUAGUUUCCUUCCAGGUCACUGUCUCUCAUCUUUGUUCUCUGUUCUCCCUAUGACUGUGCUUCUUUCCUGUAACCACAGAUGAUGAUAUCAGGGUUGGAGGAGAUCCCUGAGAUCAUCCCGUGCAGCCCCCUGCCUUCAGUUAGAUAUGAAGACGGAAGCCUCACAGAGGCAAUGACUUCUUCAAGGUCACACAGCAAGCUGGUGGAGGAGCCGGGACCAGCAGCCCAGAUCCUGAAUCCCGGGCCAAAGCUGUCUUCUCUAAUGGAUCACUGGUUCAACCCGUGGAAUUCAGAAAAGUGAACUUCCGCUGAAGCAGCUGCCUCCGAGGCUGCUCAGAAAGUAAUGGUGUGCGUCCAUUUGUAAGAGAGAAAGGGCAAGGAAAAGACUCACAGCACCGAGAGAAGAAAUAUCAGCUAAACCUUCAGUUACUCUUCUGUAGGGAAACUGAAAUGAACACAGCAUGUGAUACCAAAUUAAGCGAUUUGACUUGGAAGCUACUGUAAUUCACAUCUUCUGGGUUUUCUCCCCUUCAAAAAAUAAGGUACCCGCGCUGGGAAGAGAGCAGCUCAGCCCUUGCAAGGCUCCCCUUGAAAAGACACCCAGAUUCCCAGGCCUCACAAGAAACGCGCAGCCCAGAUCUGAUGUCAAGAGCUUUGGGAGCUUUUGCGAAGCAUGUGGCAGAUAUGGAAACCAGCAGGCGUCUGUGCUGGCCUUAGCAGGACGGGCUUCCAUCGGCGCUCAGAGAAGGCACACAGAGAAAGUGCUGAUCUCUAGGACUCUGCUCGAAGACAGGCCGUGUAAACACAAGAGUUUCUCAGAAGUCUGGGGGAUUUUCAAGACCUUACUCAAGAAUUCAUUCAAUAUUGAAGAAGCCAAGAGGACCAUACAGUUCAAGAACUGAAGGUUUAUUCACGUCAUGCACAGGGAAUUUCAAAUUAGAGAUGGAUCUGUAAGAUAAAACUUCAUUUAGGGAAGGCCUGGGAAGAAAGAAACUCCCUACUACAAAGGAUGGCCUCCCACACAUUCGAAUCAUUGCACCCGGGAUAAUCAUCUGUCUUGUUCAAAAGCAUCAAAGGAAAUGAACCAGAUCACCUUUCUUCAUUUUCCAGAGAAAAUCAUCCACCGUGUGAAUCGAAGCCAUUCUGGAUCAGAAGCCCCUCUGCUGUCAGAUAAAGAGAUGUUAUCAAACCCACGUAUAGAAUAUCCAGGACCAAGGGACAAUUUAUCAAGGUUAGGAAAGUUCUUUAAUCAUCUAAAUCCAGAUGCUUAGGAGAAUCCACACUGUUCAAGAGCUGCAGGCCCUCCUGGCAACAGGGAAAUUAGUACUUCCUGCAGCACCUUUGGCAGCUCUGGAAAUAACACUAACCCUUUAUCAACUUCAGCCAUGCUUAUUGUUAUCUAGUCCAAGCUCAUACCUCUCGCCACACGACAGGCCAAUAAACUGAGAGACGAGGUGUUAGGGCAAGGAAUUGCAACUUUAUUCGGAAAGCUGGCAGACAGAGAAGAUGGUGAACUCGCGUCCCAAAGAACCAUCUUGCCUGGGUUGGAAUGCAGGCUUCUUCUAGACUGAAAGGGGAGAGGCUGUGGCUGGUCGUGAACUUCUGCAUGCUGGAAUCCUUCAUUCCUGCAGCUGUCCACAUAGGUCUGGUCACAGGUUCCUGUAAACCUCUAACAAGACGAAGGAUCUUCUCUACUCUGCAACUUUUUAUCUCCAUAUGAAUGGAAAAGUGUUAUACCUUUAAAGGUCAGAGCCUUGAGUAUGGGCUCUCCUGCAUAUU